rnacentral:lncRNA from 1 species
CAUAUAUACAUACAUAUAUGUACGUAUAUGUAUAUACAUAUAUGUGAGUGGUCCUCACAGGAUAAUAGUAUUAUGCUAUCGGAAAUAUAGAGGGUUUUAUACUUCCGACUUUUCGACCUUUCAAUUAAAAAUUGUGCGGUUGGGAUGAUUGUGCCCCUCCCCCAAGGAUUGAAUGGCCCCCACAGGAUAAUAGUAUUAAUCCAAAGGUUAGAAAUGAUCAAAAUGAUUAAUCUAAGGGCCAAAAAAUCGGAAGCACGAGAUCUCCUAUGCUUCCGAUAGCAUAUAUAUAUAUAUAGAAUUGAGCUAGAAUACUUUUAAAAGCACAAAUUUCUUGGUGCUUCUAAGUUUCUAGCCCUUGGAUCUACUCCUUAAUUAUUAAUACCCCCUUGGAUCAAACACUAUUCUACCUACCACCACCUACCACCACCUACCACAAUCAUCCCAACCUUACAUUUCUCCAUCCAAUGAUUAAAAACUCAAAAGCACUAAUCUCUUAGUGCUUUUGAGAGUAUUCUAGCUCAACUCUCUCUCUCUCUCUCUCUCUAUAUAUAUAAUAGAGCUACUAUGCUAUCGAAAGUAUAGAGUCUGGUACUUUCGACAUUUUGGCCCUAAGAUCAAUCCCUUUGAUCAUUUCUAAUUUUUGAAUUAAUAUUAUUUCUCUAUUGGGACCACUCAACCCUAAGGAGACUACAUUCAUCCCAACCGUACAAUCCUUGAUCCAAAGGUCAAAAAGUUGGAAGCAUCAAAUUCUCUAUACUUCUGAUAAUAUAAUAAUUCUGCACUAUAUAUUGAGUCCGGCUACUAUGUAUUAAUAGGAUUGGGACCAUUGUCCUAUCAAGCCGUUUUGAAUGAUCGGCACUCAAAAUUGAUAAUCGGCACUAUUGAAAUUGAUCUACAUUAUAAGAAAUAUUUAAAAAUCGAAUUUUGUAAUUUUUGAACAUCAUUAUCAAAUCUAUCUACAGAGUCGAAAAAAUGAAUGGUCCUAAAUGAAUUACCUUCUUAAAAUAGAGAUUAGACUUUCUCAAAUCAUGAUCAGAGUUAUCAAAUAUUAUCUAAAUAGUAUAAAAAAAUAUAAUUAAUCAUGAGUAAAAUACUUAACCCCUUAUAAUGAAUAAAAAAUAUAAAAUAUAAUUUUUUGUAAACAUAAUGAAAAACAGAUAUAUUCCUAUAAAGUUUUUUUUUUAUUUUUUAUUCCUGUAAAUGUCCUAGCAUUUUCAAAUACAUCCAUACUAUUAGAAUCCGUUAGAAAAAUAUAAUUAAUCAUGAGUAAAAUACUUAACCUCUUAUAAUGAAUAAAUUAAAUUGACAUUUUUAGCCUUCUUAUAUUAUUGGAUAAAAUAUUUUCUUGAAGGACAUUUCUAUAUAAUUCUAACAGUUAGAAUUUUUGAAGGGAUAUAUUUGUAAGGGCAAAAAUAAAUUUCACUUAAUUGCUAUUAAAAAAUAAAUAGUGAAAUUGUAACAAAUCAGAAAGAAAAAUAUGAAUUUUACUGGACUUUUGUAAGGAUGAAAAUAAAAAGUUUAACCGUGUAAGAAUGUAUUUGCUAUUCGAUAUAUUUAUAGGAAGUUGUAUGCAAUUACCUUUUUUUUUAAUUACGACUAUAUUGAUAAAACAAAUUUACUGAAUGAAAAUGCUGACCAAAUUAAUUAUUUUUUCUACCAAUAACAUAUUUUGUUCUGACAAUAUCAUUGUUUAGAUUUAAAAUAAAAUCAAAUUUGAAAUUUAUUACAAUACCAGCGAUGCAUAUUGAUAUUCUUAUUUUUCAGAAAUGAGUUGGCAGCUGAGUUGUAUAUCCCAUUAUCUCUUUCUUAAGUACAUUGAAUUGAUUUUGACAAAAUUAUCCAACUAAGUAGAAAUUGAAGUUAACGACUGUUCCCAACACAGGUGACAAAGGACUUGAAGCCUAAAAGUAUAAAUGAUACUUGAUGGUGAGUUAGAAUCGCCGUUAGUUUCUUACUUGCCCUUCUGGUGCUGGAAAAGAGGAGAGUUUAUUCCCAAUUCGACAUAUGAGACAAACAUUAUUCAUAUAUAUAAGACAUAUAAAGAACCUACCUACAAAAUUUCAUAAUUUUUGAAAAACAAAAUCUUCCGUUUUUCAAUUAAUGUCCUUUUUUAAAAAUUUUAGAUCAAAAAAAGAUUAUUUAAUAUAUAAAAAUAGAUUUUCAAAAAACUUAUGAAACUUUACAAAUGCAUUUUAAAUAUUCUUGAUCAUAUUUAAUAGUCUAGGUCUUAACUUAGGAUCUUCUAGGCAGUGUUUCGUUCGGAAAAAAAUGGGAGAAUAAGUUCUUAUUCCCUUUUUAUUUUCAUACGCUACGUUAAGUACCUAAGAACAGUAAUUUUUGAAUUUCUGGAAUAAGCUGGUAUAAAGCUGGAAUUGAUGUUCCACACUUUUCGUUAGAACAAACUUAUUCCCAAGUGGGAAUAAGGUUAAUAAAAAUCUAAAUUUAAUUUUAAUUAUGGUAUUAAAUUAUUAAUUAAUCUAGUUAAUAUAUUUAAAUUAUUAUUUACUAUUUAAAUAAUAAAAUAGUUAAUUAAUUUAUUAUUUAUCAUUAAUUAUUAAUGAUUUAAUGUAUUUAUUCAUAAACUAAUAUUUAUAUUAAUCAACCAUUAAUAUUUCUAUUAAUCUAAUUAAUUUUUUACUAGUUAUUUAGCUAAAAUAAUUUACUAACUAAUUAAAAAGUUAAAUUAUUAUUUAUAAUUAAUUAAUUAAUUAAUUAAUUAAUAUAUUUUUAUUAUCUUAUACAAUAUUCAUAGCUAAUAACUUUAUUAAUUUAUUAAAUUAUUUUUAAGAAAUAUUUUGAUAUUAAUUAAUUAGAUAAAAUAAUUUUAAUGGAAAAUUUCACACUCUUUUUUUUCUAUUCCAAUCUAACUGUCCAAAAAUAUUAUUCUCUUAUUCCUAGGGAAUCAAUCUAAUUUUCAUCACAAUCCAAAAUUGUUUAGUUCAUGAUUCUAUAUUAAACUUAUGUAUCUUUUUUGUAAUAGAAAGUUCUUACUGUUAUACCUGGAAUCAAACACACACUUAAGUACAUUGAAUCCUGUAUACUAUAUUACUAUAUAUGAUAUAUUUUAUAUAUAUAUAUAUAUAUAUUAUUAUUACUAUAUAUAUAUAUAUAUCUAUAUAAAAAUUGAGCUAAGAAAUCUUUUAGAAAGCGCCAACCCCUCGGUGCUUCUAAAUUUCUAGCUUUGGAUCUAUUCCUUAAUUACUAAUCCCCUUGAUAAAUACUAUUCCACCUACCACCACCUACUACCAUCAUCUUAACCCUACGUCUCUUCAUUUAAUAGUUAAAUUCAAAAGCAUCACCCUCUUGGUGCUUUUAAGAGAUUCUAGCUCAACUAUAUAUAUAUAUAUAUAUAUAUAUAUAUAUAUAUAUAUAUAUAGAGAGAGAGAGAGAGAGAGAGAGAGAGAGAGAGAGAGAGAGAGAGAGAGUUGAGCUAGAAUACUAUCGAUAGCAAACGGGCUCUAUUGCCACUCAUUUGUUUUUGAUGAUAGAGCUUCCAAAUCGACGAUCGGUACAGUUGAACAUGACCUUUACCAGUUGAAGUGUUUAGAAAUCAAAUUUCAAAUUUUUUCAACAUCAUUUGUCUAAUAAAAGGGUUUCAAAAUUUGUAAUUUUAAUGAUUGAUAUGAGGCGUUUUCUCGUUUAACAGCGUAAAAAUAUCCAAACCAAUUGAUUUUUUGUUAGAAAAUUUUUUAAACUAUAUAAAACAAGAUCUAUACUCUUAAUCUUGAUUACAAGGCUCCUAUCAUCAUUUUUUAAAGAAUAUUCAUUUUCAGUCGUUUAUUUUUAUGUCUAUUCGAUGGAUAAGAGAAUAAUAUCGAAAAUGUAUGAAUUUGAUUUCUAAACACUUCGAGUGAUAUAUAUCAUGUUCAACGAUGCCGAUUGUCGAUUUGGAAGCUCCAUCAUCGAAAACAAAUGGAUGGCAACGGAGCCCGUUUACUAUCGAUAGUAUUCUAGCCCAACUCUGUAUAUAUAUAUAUAUAUAUAUAUAAAGUUGAAAAUUACAGAAAUAUUUAUACUU